rnacentral:rRNA from 1 species
GACGAACGCUGGCGGCGUGCUUAACACAUGCAAGUCGAACGGAAAGGCCCUGCUUUUGUGGGGUGCUCGAGUGGCGAACGGGUGAGUAACACGUGAGUAACCUGCCCUUGACUUUGGGAACUUCAGGAAACUGGGGCUAAUACCGGAUAGGAGCUCCUGCUGCAUGGUGGGGGUUGGAAAGUUUCGGCGGUUGGGGAUGGACUCGCGGCUUAUCAGCUUGUUGGUGGGGUAGUGGCUUACCAAGGCUUUGACGGGUAGCCGGCCCGAGAGGGUGACCGGCCACAUUGGGACUGAGAUACGGCCCAGACUCCUACGGGAGGCAGCAGUGGGGAAUAUUGCACAAUGGGCGGAAGCCUGAUGCAGCAACGCCGCGUGCGGGAUGACGGCCUUCGGGUUGUAAACCGCUUUCGCCUGUGACGAAGCGUGAGUGACGGUAAUGGGUAAAGAAGCACCGGCUAACUACGUG